CCCGGGCCUUGUACACACCGCCCGUCACACCAUGGGAGUUGGUUUUACCUGAAGGCGGUGCGCUAACCCGCAAGGGGGGCAGCCGACCACGGUAGGGUCAGCGACUGGGGUG
rnacentral:rRNA from 1 species